AGAGUUUGAUCCUGGCUCAGGACGAACGCUGGCGGCGUGCCUAAUACAUGCAAGUAGAACGCUGAAGAGAGGAGCUUGCUCUUCUUGGAUGAGUUGCGAACGGGUGAGUAACGCGUAGGUAACCUGCCUUGUAGCGGGGGAUAACUAUUGGAAACGAUAGCUAAUACCGCAUAACAAUGGAUGACACAUGUCAUUUAUUUGAAAGGGGCAAUUGUUCCACUACAAGAUGGACCUGCGUUGUAUUAGCUAGUAGGUGAGGUAAUGGCUCACCUAGGCGACGAUACAUAGCCGACCUGAGAGGGUGAUCGGCCACACUGGGACUGAGACACGGCCCAGACUCCUACGGGAGGCAGCAGUAGGGAAUCUUCGGCAAUGGGGGCAACCCUGACCGAGCAACGCCGCGUGAGUGAAGAAGGUUUUCGGAUCGUAAAGCUCUGUUGCAAGUCAAGAACGGGUGUGAGAGUGGAAAGUUCACACUGUGACGGUAGCUUACCAGAAAGGGACGGCUAACUACGUGCCAGCAGCCGCGGUAAUACGUAGGUCCCGAGCGUUGUCCGGAUUUAUUGGGCGUAAAGCGAGCGCAGGCGGUUUGAUAAGUCUGAAGUUAAAGGCUGUGGCUCAACCAUAGUUCGCUUUGGAAACUGUCAAACUUGAGUGCAGAAGGGGAGAGUGGAAUUCCAUGUGUAGCGGUGAAAUGCGUAGAUAUAUGGAGGAACACCGGUGGCGAAAGCGGCUCUCUGGUCUGUAACUGACGCUGAGGCUCGAAAGCGUGGGGAGCGAACAGGAUUAGAUACCCUGGUAGUCCACGCCGUAAACGAUGAGUGCUAGGUGUUGGAUCCUUUCCGGGAUUCAGUGCCGCAGCUAACGCAUUAAGCACUCCGCCUGGGGAGUACGACCGCAAGGUUGAAACUCAAAGGAAUUGACGGGGGCCCGCACAAGCGGUGGAGCAUGUGGUUUAAUUCGAAGCAACGCGAAGAACCUUACCAGGUCUUGACAUCCCGAUGCUAUUUCUAGAGAUAGAAAGUUACUUCGGUACAUCGGUGACAGGUGGUGCAUGGUUGUCGUCAGCUCGUGUCGUGAGAUGUUGGGUUAAGUCCCGCAACGAGCGCAACCCCUAUUGUUAGUUGCCAUCAUUCAGUUGGGCACUCUAGCGAGACUGCCGGUAAUAAACCGGAGGAAGGUGGGGAUGACGUCAAAUCAUCAUGCCCCUUAUGACCUGGGCUACACACGUGCUACAAUGGUUGGUACAACGAGUUGCGAGUCGGUGACGGCGAGCUAAUCUCUUAAAGCCAAUCUCAGUUCGGAUUGUAGGCUGCAACUCGCCUACAUGAAGUCGGAAUCGCUAGUAAUCGCGGAUCAGCACGCCGCGGUGAAUACGUUCCCGGGCCUUGUACACACCGCCCGUCACACCACGAGAGUUUGUAACACCCGAAGUCGGUGAGGUAACCUUUUGGAGCCAGCCGCCUAAGGUGGGACAGAUGAUUGGGGUGAAGUCGUAACAAGGUA
rnacentral:rRNA from 1 species